GAUGAAGAACGCAGCGAAAUGCGAUACGUAAUGUGAAUUGCAGAAUUCCGCGAAUCAUCGAAUCUUUGAACGCACAUUGCACCCGGUGGUAUUCCGCCGGGUAUGCCUGUCUGAGCGUCAUUUCUACCCUCGAGCACUGCUCGGUGUUGGCGGAUUGCCUAGCAACCGCUGAAAAUCAACGGCGGUGGCCCCUAUGUCCCUGUAUAGUACUAUUCUUACAGUGGUUAUAGCGGUCUACCAGUCUUUUGUCGUGGUCUCUCGGGACCCUCGACACUUGAAACUCGACCUCAGAUCAGGUAGGAAUACCCGCUGAACUUAAGCAUAUCAAUAAGCGGAGGA
rnacentral:misc_RNA from 1 species